rnacentral:lncRNA from 1 species
CUUGGGCUAGCAUGUAAACUACCUAAUGUUAUGUAUGCAUUCUUUAGCGUAUGAGUGUUUCAUUUAUUUCUUUUAUUUCGGUUAGGUGGAGCAUUGGUGCCGAAGGAGAUGAACAUGGAGAGUGCUCGGACUGCUGUGAUUUGGCAGACUACCUUCACGAAUGAGGACUUAAUUGAGGCACCUGAUCCACCACCGGUCGAUCCUAGUGCCCCUGAGCCCAGCCAUCCUCACUAGGCCUGCUGCUUAUUCAUCUCGUCUUUUUCUGCCUUGCGUGGCAGCCUUUUUAUUUUCCCAACCUUAGAUACAAUUUUCAUUUACUUUGCACAGUUUUGUACAAUUUGUUUCUUUUUUCCUCUUCAAGGUUUGAUGCAAUUUUACUUUUUUCUUACUUCAUUAUUUGCUAGAUUUACAAUAUCUGAUUUUUUU